rnacentral:rRNA from 1 species
UAAUUUAACCAAUGGGGCGGCUACUCUGCAGUCGAACGCUUUUUCUUUCCCUUACCUUGCUCCACCGAAAGAAAAAGAGUGUCGAACGGGUGAGUAACACGACCUUAACCUGCCCAUCAGAAGGGGAUAACACUUGAUAAACAGGUGCUAAUACCGUAUAACACUAUUUUCCGCAUGGAAGAAAGUUGAAAGGCGCUUUUGCGUCACUGAUGGAUGGACCCGCGGUGCAUUAUCUAGGUGGUGAGGUAACGGCUCACCAAGGGGACCAGGCAUGGACAACCUGAGAGGGUGAUCUGACACACUGACCCUGAUCCUCCGGCCAGACUCCUACAGGAGGAUUGAAUAAGGAAUCUUCGCCUGUGGACGAAAUGCUGACCGAGCAACGACUGGUGUGUGAAUAAGGUUUUGGGAUCGUAAAACUCUGUUGUUCCCUAAGAACAAGGAUUAGAGUGAACUGUUCAUCCCUUGACCGGAUCUAUCCAGAAAGCCACGGCUAACUACAUGCCGGGUGCCGCGGUAAUACGUAAGUGGUGAGCGUUGUCCGGAUUUAUUGGGCGUAUAGCGAGCGAAGGCAGAUUCCUCAGUCUGAUUGGAAAACUGCCUGUUCUACCGGGUAAGGUCAUUGGAAACUGGGAGACUUGAGUGCGUAAGAGGAGAGUGAAAUUCCUUGAGUAUACAUGAAAUGCGUAUAGCUAUGGAGGAACACCACUGGUAUACGGAGCUCUCUGGACUGUAACUUACGCUGAGGAUCGAAAGCGAGACCCGGGAACACGAUUACAUACACGAGGGAUCCUCGCCGUAGACGAUGAGCGCUGACUGUUGGAGGGUUUCAGCCCUUCAGUGCUGCAGCAAACGCAUUAAGCACUCCACCCGGAGAGUACGACCGCGGGCUCACACUCAGAGGAUUGACGGUUCACUCACUGAUGCUGGAGCAAGCGUUUCAGUCUUAGAUGCGCAAGACCGUCUAGGAUUGACAUUCUUCGACCACUCUACAGAGAGGCCUUCCCCUUCUCGUGCCAUGUGACAGUGGGUGCUUGGUUGUCGUCAACUACGAGCGUGAGCUGUUGGGUUAGUUGC